rnacentral:rRNA from 1 species
AUACGGAGGGGGCUAGCGUUGUUCGGAAUUACUGGGCGUAAAGGGCGUGUAGGCGGGACAGCAAGUCGGGUGUGAAAGCCCUGGGCUCAACCCAGGAAGUGCAUUCGAUACUACUGUUCUUGAGUAUGACAGAGGAAAGCGGAAUUCCCGGUGUAACGGUGAAAUGCGUAGAUAUCGGGAAGAACACCUGUGGCGAAGGCGGCUUUCUGGGUCACAACUGACGCUGAGACGCGAAAGCUAGGGGAGCGAACGGGAUUAGAAACCCCAGUAGUCC